UAAGCAUACUGGAAAGUGUGCUUGG
rnacentral:piRNA from 1 species